AGCAGUAGCCGCGGGAAUACGAAGGGUGCAAGCGUUAAUCGGAAUCACUGGGCGUAAAGCGUGCGUAGGCGGUUUGUUAAGACAGAUGUGAAAUCCCCGGGCUCAACCUGGGAACUGCAUUUGUGACUGGCAAGCUAGAGUGUGGCAGAGGGGGGUGGAAUUCCGCGUGUAGCAGUGAAAUGCGUAGAUAUGCGGAGGAACACCGAUGGCGAAGGCAGCCCCCUGGGCCAACACUGACGCUCAUGCACGAAAGCGUGGGGAGCAAACAGGAUUAGAUACCCCUGUAGUCCCUGUCUCUUAUAC
rnacentral:rRNA from 1 species